GGAUGGCCUGGGCUUCCUGGGUCAUGUCUAAGACCUGCAAGGAUGCAUAGUUUCAAGUCAUUUGUCAUAAUACAUUUUUCCUGUGUGUCCUGCCAAAUAUUGAUGAAUAAUUCAUAAAAGAAGUAUUUUUGUGAAUUUCAGUGAAUCAAACAAGAGCUAUCAGUGGCAGCAAUUAAACAUCUACAUUGUCUACUAUUUUAUUUUUUAAAAAUAUUCAUUCAUUUGCAAGGCAGAGUGCCAAAGAUAAGAGAGAGAAUCAAUCUUCCAUCUCCUGGUUCAACCCCAGACGGCAGCCAGGACAGCCAGAGCUUGGGCCAGGCUGACCUGAGGCCAGCAGCCAGGCGCUCCCUUCAGGUCACCCGCGGGGAUAGAAGGGCCCGGGCACUUGGGUCAGAGUCCACUGCCUUCCCUGCACAGUAGCAGAGAGCCGGGUCAGCAGCUGGGUGCCCAGGCCUCGAACCUGCUGUCCACCAGUGAUGACAGCACCAUAGGCAGGGCUGAGCACCAUGCCAGCACCAGUGUCCUUGUGAUGCGGGAGGUGAGGUGAGGGCGCUCAGGUGAUGGAGGAGGUGAGGUGAGGAGACUCAGGUGAUGGGGGAGGUGAGGUGAGGGCACUCAGGUGAUGGGGGAGGUGAGGUGAGGAGACUCAGGUGAUGGAAGUGAUGAGGUGAGGUGAGGAGACUCAG